ensembl:lncRNA
CAAGCUCCUAAGGUGUCGACAGUCACACACAUCGUCCGAGAGGAGAUUGGAACGGAUGAUGUUUUUUUGCUUGGGGAACACAUUGAAGAGACACAGUUUGGCAUCGACAACCAUCAUUCAGACUUCAGUCAUUGGUUGUGUCUGUGUUUCUCAAGCUAAGGCUGCACCACAUUGCCAAACUCACCACUCUGGAACUGCAAAACGGGAGCACGAGAAAGAAGCUCUGCAAGACAGUCCUAUUCCAGGGGUUUUAGUGUGUGUGUGUGUGUUUAGACCCUCUUUGGUGCAAACACCCGGCGUUCUGUUGAAGUUAUUUGUGUGCG